rnacentral:misc_RNA from 1 species
UACGGAGGGUGCAAGCGUUGUCCGGAUUUAUUGGGCGUAAAGCGAGCGCAGGCGGUCUUUUAAGUCUGAUGUGAAAGCCCACGGCUCAACCGUGGAGGGUCAUUGGAAACUGGGGAACUUGAGUACAGAAGAGGAGAGCGGAAUUCCACGUGUAGCGGUGAAAUGCGUAGAUAUGUGGAGGAACACCAGUGGCGAAGGCGGCUCUCUGGUCUGUAACUGACGCUGAGGCGCGAAAGCGUGGGUAGCAAACAGG